rnacentral:rRNA from 1 species
GACAGAGGGGGCUAGCGUUGCUCGGAAUCACUGGGCGUAAAGCGCACGUAGGCGGCUUUUUAAGUCAGGGGUGAAAUCCUGGAGCUCAACUCCAGAACUGCCUUUGAUACUGGGGAUCUCGAGUCCGGGAGAGGUGAGUGGAACUCCGAGUGUAGAGGUGAAAUUCGUAAAUAUUCGGAAGAACACCAGUGGCGAAGGCGGCUCACUGGCCCGGUACUGACGCUGAGGUGCGAAAGCGUGGGGAGCAAACAGG